rnacentral:lncRNA from 1 species
GAAUUUAGCUCUUGUCCAAUCCCCAGAGAACACAGGAAAAAUUUUCUUUCACUCAUCUGAAAAAAAAAAUUUUUGCAGACAGGCACUGGAAGACAUCUGUGACAAGCCUGUGUGGAAUAAGUGAUAACGCCUUCUGAAAUGUUUGCAAAAGCAAGUCACCUGCUGUUUGCCAGUGACCACUGCUCUCUUCAGUGGGAUGAGCAAGGUUGUACAGAGCCAAAUGAUGGCGAAGAUUCGGAGAAGCAUUAAAAUAUGUGCUAAAAGGUAAACAAUAAAAAUGAUUGCAAAUCU